AAACAGGAACACAAGAUACCUGCAACUGAUACCAGGUGGGAAACAAUCGUCAAAUCUUCUUACUUGCAUCACCAUCAUGUCCGCUAUUCUGAGGAACUAGUAACUCACCUUUCUCAGCAAUCCAAAAGUUAAAAAAA